GACGAACGCUGGCGGCGUGCUUAACACAUGCAAGUCGAACGAUGAACCCGGAGCUUGCUCCGGCGGAUUAGUGGCGAACGGGUGAGUAACACGUGAGUAACCUGCCUUGACUCUGGGAUAACUGCGGGAAACUGUAGCUAAUACCGGAUACGACCCUCGGCGGCAUCGCCAGGGUGUGGAAAGAAUUUCGGUCAAGGAUGGACUCGCGGCCUAUCAGCUAGUUGGUGAGGUAACGGCUCACCAAGGCGACGACGGGUAGCCGGCCUGCGAGGGGGACGGGCCACACUGGGACUGAGACACGGCCCAGACUCCUACGGGAGGCAGCAGUGGGGAAUAUUGCACAAUGGGCGCAAGCCUGAUGCAGCAACGCCGCGUGAGGGAUGACGGCCUUCGGGUUGUAAACCUCUUUUAGUAGGGAAGAAGCGAAAGUGACGGUACCUGCAGAAAAAGCACCGGCUAACUACGUGCCAGCCGCCGCGGUAA
rnacentral:rRNA from 1 species